rnacentral:rRNA from 1 species
GUGUCAGCAGCCGCGGUAAAACGUAGGAGGCGAGCGUUAUCCGGAGUUACUGGGCGUAAAGCGCGUGUAGGCGGUGAGGUAAGUGGCUGGUGAAAGCCUUCGGCUUAACCGAGGGAGUGCCGGUCAGACUGCUUGACUAGAGUACUGGAGAGGGACGCGGAAUUCCGGGUGUAGCGGUGAAAUGUGCAGAGAUCCGGAGGAACACCAGCGCCGAAAGGGGCGUCCUGGACAGAAACUGACGCUGAGACGCGACAGCGUGGGGAGCGAACGGGAUUAGAUACCCUCGUAGUCC